UCACAGGGCCUAAAACCCUCAAGGCACCAGAUCCCAUAUGAUCUUGGAAGCUAAGUAGGAUAAUCCCUAGUUAUGACUUGGAUGGGAGACCAUCAAUGAACACUAGGUGCUGUAGGAU
rnacentral:rRNA from 1 species